AGCUAUUCGAGAUUGCAUAUGAAGUGAUUCUAGGAGAAAAAACUAUUUCAUCCAGAGCUGCUGAAAUCUAGGCGUGUGUUACAUCAACAUCUCCCCUCCCACCCAGCAAUCCAUCAACCAUCUCCAAUUUAUUCUUUACACUUAGGAUUAUGACCAAGUUCACGUACUUAAAAGGGAGAAACCACAGAGACAUCACACUGAAAGUUUCUCUGCUUUGGGCCAGCAGGAAAUUCCAGUUGCUUCAUUCACCGGAGCCAGUUAAGCUGCUGAAAUGAAAUGGAUCACCGGAGAGAUCACUAUAUCAGGACAUAGACUUGACUUUCAGGGUUGGAGGAAGCCGGACAAAGAUGAAUGGGAUUCAGAGCCUGAACUCAAGGUCAACGUCUUCUGAAUCACAAAGAGCUGGUGGGUCAGUCUGGGAGAAGAAAGAAAAUUCUGCGCCAAAUGGGAAAACCCUUAAAGUCUGCAUAGUUUUGCUUGUCGGGUCUCCUAUGGACAGAAGUGCGGGCAAGGAGCUUUGUUCCUCCCCGAUGUCACCCUCCCACAGCCCACUUGCUAGCAGGCAAGAGAGGGGUGGAGGCCGGCAGUAAGGCAUGUACUGAACUGGACCUCUGGUGGAAUGGGUCACCCACGCUGGGCUUGACUCUUACCAUCAGGGUCCUGCCAACCCUUCAGUGAGACUUUUUCCGAAGAAUCCCUUUUAAAAUGACCUCAAGCUGACCUUCCUGAUGCAGAUUCCACAUAUGGUAUCUGAGACUCACACAGUGUGGUUGGAAGAUAGCACAGUGACCUCCCAGGCACAGCCCUCUGCCAGCCCUCCACUGGCUGCCCUAGGAUGCUGGCCUUCCUCCGAUGGGAGUCGGGCCCAGUCUGCUGUGAGCCAGGAGAAGCCAGCAAGCUCCCUGCGAGGCCUGGAGGAGCCCUUCUCACUCAGCUUGGUGUUCGAUGCCAGUGCCCCCGCCCAUUGUGGGGUGAGGGUGGGACUCUCAGCACAGCCCUGUCCAAAUAAAUCCUCUAAAGCCCUCUUCCAUCUGCAGUCACUUGAGUCUUUUGUAGCCUGUGUGAUUGAGCAUCUAAGCAGUCCUCAGCUAUUUACUUUGAAAUUUCGUAAGUGAUUUUGGUAUCUGUCAUUUCUUGAUGCAUCAGUCACAACUCCCCAUCUAACAUCCCAUUAAAUAAUAUAUAAAACAGAACAAAAACAUUGUGCCAACUUCUUCUAAGAAGAAUUUAAUGUCACUUCCUAAGUUAAGCAGUUGGGCCCUGUCCCAUGACUGUUCAUCUCUGCUCAAUAGUCAUCAAGAGCUGAGAAAGAAGAAAGGAGCCCUGGGGGCCUAAGCUGUGUGUGUGUGUGUGUGUGUGUGUGUGUGUGUGUGAUUAUGAGAAACACUCUCCAUUCUGUUUUUCAUUAAUAUCUAAAGGGAAAUUCUAUUAAAUCAAUUCCAAGACCAAAAAUUGUGGACAUUUGUGUGUUUUUUAAAGACACUAAAAACAAGUGGAAUGUACAGAUAGACUAUAUUAUUUCCCAACUUUUUGAUAUAUAGUACAAAUUGUUCCUGAAUUAAAAGUCUAAUGAUUGAUACAUUUUUUGUAUUAUCUUACCUGCUAGGGAAAAAAAAAUUGCCAUGAUGCGAAAAAGAUGCAACAGGCACCGUGGGGUAUAGCGUGUAGCAGUCUUCUGUCCAUGAAAUACUGUGGUUUAUAUGCAGGAUUAGCCAAGUGGUAGAAACCUCGGUCCAGCCAGUCUGGAGACUAGUAAACCAAAAAGAGACUUUUCUGCUUCUAACGGACAUAGGCAAGUGGUAAUUUCUCACCAAAUUAAAAAUAACACUGGUCUUUGAUUAGCUAGAGAGAUCUUCUUAAAAUGCUUAUCUGAUUGUGUCCCCCUCCCUCAGCUCAAAAAUCUGUAAAGCUUUUCCAUUACUUUUUGGAUUAACAAAAAUGAGGUCCACAAAGCCCAGAGAGUGUUGUCCCUACCUUUCUCUCUAGCCGAUUUCCUGUCUCCCUCCUCCUGUACUGCCUCCCCCACCUUGUGAUCCAGGCCAUAUGGAUUCAAUGCCUCCUCCAUUCUCCCUUCUCUCUCUCCUUUGUUCAGUCAGCUUUUCAGAUUUUGGUUCAGAUGUCACUUCCUUGGCCCUCCCCUCCCAGGCCAGAUCAAGUCUCCCUAUUCUAGACUACUAAACUUUUUGAACAUUUAAGUGUUUCUAUUUAUAUAUUUAUAUAAUUUAUUAUUAUCUAUAUUAGGGCCCUGAAAAGAAACAAAUCAACUCAGAGGGUUCAACUAAGAGAACUUAAUGAAGAAACAAAAACCAGAGGUGCUGCGGCACUCAGGAACUAGCAAGAGCAGGAAACCUUUAUGAAUCCUUGGUUCAAAGGGGUAGAAGGGAGCACCACCUCGAUUCCCCACCCCAGGAAUGGAGUACUCAUCUACUAGCAGUUCGAAGUGCCAGGACCAACAGGUCUCAACUAAAUUUUUCUCUGGGACCUGUCCUUGCCUAAGGGGAACUUCCUCACCCAAAAGCAUGCCCCCUUUCCCUGGGGCAGCCUCAUGCAAUGACUGGUCUGUGCAGAGGUGUGAAGAUCCAGUUCACAUGCCCCAAAUUGGGACAACUAACUACAGGGCCAUCCUAGCCCACUCUGCCCAAUCCUGAUCCUCUCACUCCCCCACCCCAAGUGGUCAUCCCAUGAACACUCCCCAGCUAACUUCCUGUGGGCACAGUAUCAGGGGCUGCUUCGCACAGAACCUACCUAGAGAAAGGCCAAGGUAAAGAAAGUGUCACCCAAGCCCUAUAAGAGCUUCCACUUUGGGCAAGCAGUGAGUAGGGAAAACAGAUCUCCGCCUCUCCCACUUCUCUAUUUCCUGCCUGGACCUUCUAUUGGUGGAAGCCAUUGGGUGACAUAACCCACAGGAAUCAGCCUUCUGGGGUAAAACACAGCAGAAGAUAGAUAAUAGUGGGGAGAAGAGGGCAGAGACAAAAUUUCCCCUUAGUAAUCUGGUAGUACAUACAGUGGCAAAAGAAGCCCCAAAUAACUAAGAGUCUUAGCUUCCAAUUUAAUAGAACUAUGGCUAUUGAUAUAGUUUGGAUGUGUGUCCCUGCCCAAAUCUCUUGUUGACAUGUAAUCCCCAAUGUUGGAGGUUGGACUUGGUGGGAAGUGAUUGGAUCAUGAGGGCAGAUAUCUCAUGAAUAGUUCAGUAUCAUUCCUUUGGUACUAUCCUGACAACAGUGAGUGAAUUCUCACAAGAUCUGGUUGUUUAAACGUGUGUGGCACCUCGCGCCCUAACUCUUGCUCCUGCUCUGGCCUUGUGAUGUGCCUGCUGCUCCCUUCACCUUCCACCAUGAUUGUAAGCUUCCUGGGGCCUCCCCAGGAGCUGAGCCCAGCAUCAUGCUUCCUAUACAACUUGCAGAACCAUGAGCCAGUUAAACCUCUUUCUUUAUAAAUUAUCUAGCCUCAGGUAUUUACAGCCAUAUGAGAACAUCCUAACAGCUAUGUUCUCUAGUAGAAGGCUCCUUCCUUCUUUGUUAACAAGGACUUCCAAUCAAAAGCCAGCUGGCAAGGAAACCUGAGGAAUGCUGCAUAACUGAGCCUUUUCAGACAUGAAGUAUGGAGGAAGAGGAGGAAGACAGCAUGUAUUAGAAAGCAACAGAGACAACUCGC
rnacentral:lncRNA from 10 species